CAAUAAUCUAAAAGUUGAUAUGACUGAAGUUUAACACUAGGAUAAGCAAUAGAUUAUGCAAUUGUUUCCGCUAUAAGCUGGUUUUAUCGGGGUUCAAUGAUUGAUUCCGUAACAUUAUUUACAGACCAUGUGGAGUUGCUUUGUGAUUGAAAAUUACCGCUGGAGAUGUUUGCAUACGUAAAUGUAGGCUGUUUUGGUUCAGGAAG
rnacentral:misc_RNA from 1 species